rnacentral:rRNA from 1 species
GAUGAACGCUGGCGGCGUGCCUAAUACAUGCAAGUCGAGCGAACAGACGAGGAGCUUGCUCCUUCGACGUUAGCGGCGGACGGGUGAGUAACACGUAGGUAACCUACCUAUAAGACUGGGAUAACUUCGGGAAACCGGAGCUAAUACCGGAUAAUAUUUCGAACCGCAUGGUUCGAUAGUGAAAGAUGGCUUUGCUAUCACUUAUAGAUGGACCUGCGCUGUAUUAGCUAGUUGGUAAGGUAACGGCUUACCAAGGCAACGAUACGUAGCCGACCUGAGAGGGUGAUCGGCCACACUGGAACUGAGACACGGUCCAGACUCCUACGGGAGGCAGCAGUAGGGAAUCUUCCGCAAUGGGCGAAAGCCUGACGGAGCAACGCCGCGUGAGUGAUGAAGGUCUUCGGAUCGUAAAACUCUGUUAUUAGGGAAGAACAAACGUGUAAGUAACUGUGCACGUCUUGACGGUACCUAAUCAGAAAGCCACGGCUAACUACGUG